UACGAAGGGUGCAAGCGUUACUCGGAAUUACUGGGCGUAAAGCGUGCGUAGGUGGUGAGUUAAGUCUGAUGUGAAAUCCCCGGGCUCAACCUGGGAAUGGCAUUGGAUACUGGCUCGCUAGAGUGCGGUAGAGGGUGGUGGAAUUCCCGGUGUAGCAGUGAAAUGCGUAGAGAUCGGGAGGAACAUCUGUGGCGAAGGCGGCCACCUGGACCUACACUGACACUGAGGCACGAAAGCGUGGGGAGCAAACAGG
rnacentral:rRNA from 1 species